rnacentral:rRNA from 1 species
GUCCACGCUGUAAAACGAUGAGCACUAGGUGUGGGGGGGUUCAGUCCCUUCCGUGCCGCAGCUAACGCAUUAAGUGCUCCGCCUGGGGAGUACGGCCGCAAGGUUGAAACUCAAAGGAAUUGACGGGGGCCCGCACAAGCGGUGGAGCAUGUGGUUCAAUUCGAUGCAGAGCGAAGAACCUUACCUGGGCUUGACAUGCAGGAAGUAGAAACCGGAAACGGCAACGACCUGUUAAGUCAGGAACCUGCACAGGUGGUGCAUGGCUGUCGU